UACGGAGGAUGCGAGCGUUAUCCGGAUUUAUUGGGUUUAAAGGGUGCGUAGGCGGGCUUUUAAGUCAGCGGUAAAAAUUCGGGGCUCAACCCCGUCCGGCCGUUGAAACUGGGGGCCUUGAGUGGGCGAGAAGAAGGCGGAAUGCGUGGUGUAGCGGUGAAAUGCUUAGAUAUCACGAAGAACCCCGAUUGCGAAGGCAGCCUGCCGCAGCGUUACUGACGCUGAAGCUCGAAAGCGCGGGUAUCGAACAGG
rnacentral:rRNA from 1 species